rnacentral:rRNA from 1 species
AUUGAACGCUGGCGGCAUGCCUUACACAUGCAAGUCGAACGGCAGCACGGGGGCAACCCUGGUGGCGAGUGGCGAACGGGUGAGUAAUACAUCGGAACGUGCCCGGUAGUGGGGGAUAGCUCGGCGAAAGCCGGAUUAAUACCGCAUACGACCUGCGGGUGAAAGCGGGGGAUCGCAAGACCUCGCGCUAUCGGAGCGGCCGAUGUCAGAUUAGGUUGUUGGUGGGGUAAAGGCCACCAAGCCGACGAUCUGUAGCUGGUCUGAGAGGACGACCAGCCACACUGGGACUGAGACACGGCCCAGACUCCUACGGGAGGCAGCAGUGGGGAAUUUUGGACAAUGGGCGCAAGCCUGAUCCAGCCAUGCCGCGUGCGGGAAGAAGGCC